CCGGGGCUGGACCCCCGGCAGAACUUGUGUGUCAGAAGCCCCAGCUGACCUCCUUCAGGAAGAACCUGUGGCUUUGUUAACAAACACAGUUUCAGCAGCACACGUGCUUUCUGGCUGCUGUCCUCCUGGGCACUGCACGUGCUCUGGCCAAGAGCGAGGACCGCAGGGGUGACCCCAGCUCGCAGCCUCCAUUCGGAGCUCCCUGUGUUUGUUGUCGUGUCUGUGUUCCUCCGCUCUCCCAAGGGCUCAGAGUUGUGUUCGGCCUGGCACAUCCUAGGGGCUCGGCUCUGAUUUCUGGAUGAAUGGACUGCCCCGCACCCAGCCCAGCUCUCUCUUGCUGUCCCGGCUCCUUCCCUUUGAAACCUCCUUGCCAGUUGCAUGCUGCACGGGAAUCUCUUUUUCAGCAGCUUUGUAACCAAGAGAAUAUGUGAACAAAGAGGAAAAGCAAAUACUGGAGAAACUGUGCUUAGUUUCCUCUAGGUUAAGCCAUGAUGUCUUCACCAUAAUAAAGUCAGUGUUUAUUACAUGUCA